rnacentral:rRNA from 1 species
AUACAUAGGGGGCAAGCGUUACCCGGAAUUAUUGGGUUUAAAGGGUGCGCAGGCGGCCGUUUAAGUCAGCGGUUAAAUCGUGGGGCUCAACCCCAUUCUGCCGUUGAUACUGGGUGGCUUGAUUGCGGUCGAGGUUGGCGGAAUUCGUUGUGUAGCGGGGAAAUGCAUAGAUAUGACGAAGAACACCGAUUGCGUAGGCAGCUGACCAGACCGCAAAUGACGCUCAUGCACGAAGGUGCGGGGAUCGAACAGGAUUAGAUACCCUGGUAGUCCGCACAGUAAACGAUGAAUACUUGUUUUCGGCGAUAUAAUGUCGGAGGCAAAGCGAAAGCGAUAAGUAUUCCACCUGGGGAGUACGCCGGCAACGGUGAAACUCAAAUGAAUUGGCGGGG